UACGGAGGGUGCAAGCGUUAUCCGGAUUUACUGGGUUUAAAGGGUGCGUAGGUGGGUUGGGAAGUCAGCGGUGAAAUACUUUCGCUUAACGAAGGAACUGCCAUGAUACUAUCAAUUCUUGAAUGUAGUGGAGGUAGGCGGAAUGCGUCAUGUAGCGGUGAAAUGCUUAGAUAUGACAUAGAACACCCAUUGCGAAGGCAGCAUAACUACGCGAAAUAUUGACGCUGAGGCACGAAAGCGUGGGGAUCAAACAGGA
rnacentral:rRNA from 1 species